AGAGUUUGAUCCUGGCUCAGGACGAACGCUGGCGGCGUGCCUAAUACAUGCAAGUCGAACGAACUCUGGUAUUGAUUGGUGCUUGCAUCAUGAUUUACAUUUGAGUGAGCGGCGAACUGGUGAGUAACACGUGGGAAACCUGCCCAGAAGCGGGGGAUAACACCUGGAAACAGAUGCUAAUACCGCAUAACAACUUGGACCGCAUGGUCCGAGCUUGAAAGAUGGCUUCGGCUAUCACUUUUGGAUGGUCCCGCGGCGUAUUAGCUAGAUGGUGGGGUAAUGGCUCACCAUGGCAAUGAUACGUAGCCGACCUGAGAGGGUAAUCGGCCACAUUGGGACUGAGACACGGCCCAAACUCCUACGGGAGGCAGCAGUAGGGAAUCUUCCACAAUGGACGAAAGUCUGAUGGAGCAACGCCGCGUGAGUGAAGAAGGGUUUCGGCUCGUAAAACUCUGUUGUUAAAGAAGAACAUAUCUGAGAGUAACUGUUCAGGUAUUGACGGUAUUUAACCAGAAAGCCACGGCUAACUACGUGCCAGCAGCCGCGGUAAUACGUAGGUGGCAAGCGUUGUCCGGAUUUAUUGGGCGUAAAGCGAGCGCAGGCGGUUUUUUAAGUCUGAUGUGAAAGCCUUCGGCUCAACCGAAGAAGUGCAUCGGAAACUGGGAAACUUGAGUGCAGAAGAGGACAGUGGAACUCCAUGUGUGGCGGUGAAAUGCGUAGAUAUAUGGAAGAACACCAGUGGCGAAGGCGGCUGUCUGGUCUGUAACUGACGCUGAGGCUCGAAAGUAUGGGUAGCAAACAGGAUUAGAUACCCUGGUAGUCCAUACCGUAAACGAUGAAUGCUAAGUGUUGGAGGGUUUCCGCCCUUCAGUGCUGCAGCUAACGCAUUAAGCAUUCCGCCUGGGGAGUACGGCCGCAAGGCUGAAACUCAAAGAAAUUGACGGGGGCCCGCACAAGCGGUGGAGCAUGUGGUUUAAUUCGAAGCUACGCGAAGAACCUUACCAGGUCUUGACAUACUAUGCAAAUCUAAGAGAUUAGACGUUCCCUUCGGGGACAUGGAUACAGGUGGUGCAUGGUUGUCGUCAGCUCGUGUCGUGAGAUGUUGGGUUAAGUCCCGCAACGAGCGCAACCCUUAUUAUCAGUUGCCAGCAUUAAGUUGGGCACUCUGGUGAGACUGCCGGUGACAAACCGGAGGAAGGUGGGGAUGACGUCAAAUCAUCAUGCCCCUUAUGACCUGGGCUACACACGUGCUACAAUGGAUGGUACAACGAGUUGCGAACUCGCGAGAGUAAGCUAAUCUCUUAAAGCCAUUCUCAGUUCGGAUUGUAGGCUGCAACUCGCCUACAUGAAGUCGGAAUCGCUAGUAAUCGCGGAUCAGCAUGCCGCGGUGAAUACGUUCCCGGGCCUUGUACACACCGCCCGUCACACCAUGAGAGUUUGUAACACCCAAAGUCGGUGGGGUAACCUUUUAGGAACCAGCCGCCUAAGGUGGGACAGAUGAUUAGGGUGAAGUCGUAACAAGGUAGCCGUA
rnacentral:rRNA from 1 species